AAGACCUUUGCGCUUUUGGAGCGGCCGAUGUCUGAUUAGCUUGUUGGUAAGGUAAAAGCUUACCAAGGCUUCGAUCAGUAGCUGGUCUGAGAGGACGGCCAGCCACACUGGGACUGAGACACGGCCCAGACUCCUACGGGAGGCAGCAGUGGGGAAUUUUGGACGAUGGGGGCAACCCUGAUCCAGCCAUGCCGCGUGAGUGAAGAAGGCCUUCGGGUUGUAAAGCUCUUUCAGCCGGAACGAAACGGUUACGGUUAAUACCCGUGACUACUGACGGUACCGGAAGAAGAAGCACCGGCUAACUACGUGCCAGCAGCCGCGGUAAUACGUAGGGUGCAAGCGUUAAUCGGAAUUACUGGGCGUAAAGCGUGCGCAGGUGGUUUUGUAAGUCAGAUGUGAAAUCCCCGGGCUUAACCUGGGAACU
rnacentral:rRNA from 1 species